rnacentral:rRNA from 1 species
AACGAACGCUGGCGGCAUGCCUAACACAUGCAAGUCGAACGAGACCUUCGGGUCUAGUGGCGAACGGGUGCGUAACGCGUGGGAACCUGCCCUUAGGUUCGGAAUAACUCCCCGAAAGGGGUGCUAAUACCGGAUAAUGUCUUCGGACCAAAGAUUUAUCGCCUUUGGAUGGGCCCGCGUUGGAUUAGCUAGUUGGUAGGGUAAAAGCCUACCAAGGCGACGAUCCAUAGCUGGUCUGAGAGGAUGAUCAGCCACACUGGGACUGAGACACGGCCCAGACUCCUACGGGAAGCAGCAGUGGGGAAUAUUGGACAAUGGGCGAAAGCCUGAGCCAGCAAUGCCGCGUGAGUGAUGAAGGCCUUAGGGUUGUAAAGCUCUUUUACCCGGGAUGAUAAUGACAGUACCGGGAGAAUAAGCUCCGGCUAACUCCGUG